rnacentral:misc_RNA from 1 species
UUUNGAAGUAAAAGUCGUANNAAGGUNNCCGUUGGUGAACCAGCGGAGGGAUCAUUGCUGGNAACGCGCCCCGGCGCACCCAGAAACCCUAUGUGAACUCAUACCUCUGUUGCCUCGGCGCUGCUGGCCUUAGGGCCCUUUACUGCUAUAGUGGUAGAGAGAAGGCACGCCGGCGGCCAAAACAACUCUGUUUUUAUACUGAAACUCUGAGCAAUACAAAAUGAAUCAAAACUUUCAACAACGGAUCUCUUGGUUCUGGCAUCGAUGAAGAACGCAGCGAAAUGCGAUAAGUAAUGUGAAUUGCAGAAUUCAGUGAAUCAUCGAAUCUUUGAACGCACAUUGCGCCCUCUGGCAUUCCGGAGGGCAUGCCUGUUCGAGCGUCAUUUCACCCCUCAAGCACUGCUUGGUGUUGGGGCACUGCUUUUAACGAAGCAGGCCCUGAAAUCUAGUGGCGAGCUCGCCAGGACCCCGAGCGCAGUAGUUAAACCCUCGCUCUGGAAGGCCCUGGCGGUGCCCUGCCGUUAAACCCCCAACUCCUGAAAAAUUUGACCUCGGAUCAGGUAGGAAUACCCGCUGAA